AAAAAAUUCCCCCAAACUUUCAUUUUUCAGAACGUUAGGGUUUCAAAAAAUCAAAGCAAAGGCUCUUCUUCUUAACUACAAUCAAUUCUCUUUGUUUUGCUGGUACCUGGUACGGCUCUAUGACUCUCAAUUAUUGGUUCUUGACUUUUGGUUUCUUAUAAGAAAUUGGUAGUUUUAUACCCUUUUGAGUUUUGUCAUUAAGCUCCAUAUUUAGAAAUUAUUUGCAUUUGUUUGGAUAACUUGUUAGCUCAUCCCAUUCAAUCUAACAAGAUUAAAGUACCACUGCUGGAGUGUAAUUUAUUUUUUGUGUUUUAUGAUUUUUUUAGUGAGAGUCGAUAUGAUUCCGAAAAUUUUCAAGGCUAUUCCAACUCCCCAAACUUCUGGUUCUGGACCUUCUGGUUAUUGUAUAGUAACUUGAGGAAUGUUCUAGAGUUUUAAAUCUUUAACCCAUAAAGUUAAAUUUUUGGAUCCGCCCCUGAUUAAAU
rnacentral:lncRNA from 1 species